AAUUCACUUACAUUCUGGUCUUGAUAAUUGUCAGACGUUAUUAUAUAAAGUGUUGUGCUAUGUUUUGUUGUUAAAUCGUUGUGCUGAUUACUACGACUGCCCUGAAACCACCCCCUAUGCUUGUUAAUAAAAUUGUAAAAAAAGGCAUUGUAUACAUACUGUAUGCUUGAUUAGUUCAAAACCAUCAGUUUUGCAAUAAGAUGCUUUAUGAUACCUAGUUUGUGAGUGACUAAGAAUGUGUUGUAAUAACCUUUUGUGUUUUUUUUUAGUGUAGCUGUAGUUGUCCAGUCUUAAACACUUCAGACUUUUCUGUUUUGUUUCUUUCCUUUUUUAACUCGGGAAUACUUGCAAAGCAUUUACGAGUUAUUGGAGGGACUUCCAGGGGUGGAUCCAGGGUAGUUUACGUGAGUUCCGGAACACACUCAAAGUUUUUCAGACCAAGUUAUUUUAAACUUAAAUGGCUUUUUAAAAAAUACUCCGAUAUCCCUAGAAACUAUUGGCUUGUCUGUGGAAAUCAUUCAAUCUCCUGUAUUUUUGGUUUUUAAUUAAAUUAAACACGUAAAAAGAUGCCUUAUCGUCUUUAUUAUUCUUAUGCGACUUCACGGAGCGCCCUGGAUCACGAGCUUUGGAUUUGAGCUUCGAUUACUUUUCGGGAACCUUCGGAAAUCCGUCGGAUAAGAUCGGAAAAUAUUGUCACCAAUUUGCAAGCGAGGGGGUGGGUGAGGUGUUAUUAUAGUUAGCCCUGGAACACACUCAAAACCUCGCGCGAUUGGCUGGAAUUUUUUUCAUUGUGUUGGAACUCACUCAAAACCAUUUUUGAUUGGCUAACUCACUUGGAAACCACCGCGGAAACUAUCGACAAAAGUAUAAAAGGGUCUGUACCUCCCCCAACGGUCUUCUUUCGUUUGCCUUCACUAGAAUCUCAGUACUUGCAUCGGAGUUUACGAAGGAAUUAGUUAACAAAUUGCACUAGUUUUUACUCUUUAUGGCUCGUGCUCCUGUCUGUCGGAAGGAGGAUUGUUCUCCCUACGACAUUGGCUUAGUCUUCGACAAGAUCGCCAGCUAUUCGCCUCAGGACAAGUUGAAAUUCAUCGAAAAUGUAUGGAAACCAGGUGAGCUUUUCGAUUUCCCAGUGUCAAUAGAGAAUGGAAAAUCUCGCAAGUUUGUUUUAAACUGGCUAAAGAAAUAUCCAUGGCUAGCCUACUCUAAAUAUUACAAUGGAGUGUUUUGCUUAGCUUGUGUUUGUUUCGGAGUUCAGUGUGGGCGAAACGCUAGUAAGUUAGACAAAUUAUUGAAGUCUCCUCUUACAAAUUGGACUUCGGCCGCUUCGCGCUUUACAAAACACGCGCAAUGAAAUUGUGAAAUUCACAAAUUUUCUAUGAUUGCUAUAGAAGAAUUUAAGAAAAUGAUGCGAACAGACGCUGUCCCGAUAAAUCUGCAGUUAAAUAACAUCGUUCAACAGCAAAUUGCUAGAAACCGUGAGAUCCUUAGGUCCCUUUUUAAAACAAUUAUUUUCUGUGGGAAAAACAAUAUCCCACUCAGGGGCUUGAGGGAUAGUGACCCCACUAAUGCUGCCCUAGCUGGUAAUUUCCAGGCACUGCUUGAAUUCCGGGUAGAUAGUGGUGACCAAAUACUGGAGCAGCACCUAGAAAAUGCACCAAGAAAUGCCACAUACAUUUCAAAGACCAUCCAGAAUCAAAUGAUAUCAACUGUUGGUGCUCAUAUUUUAAAUAAUUUAUCUCAAGAAAUGAGGGAUAGUAAAUAUUUUUCUGUAAUGGCAGAUGAAGUGGCUGAUAUAGCAAACAAAGAAAAUCUUUCUGUUGUGAUUAGAUUUCUCGACUCAACCAAAAACUUUAGAGAAGAAUUUAUUGGAUUUUAUAUUUGUAAGGAGGGAACAACAGGAGAGGCCAUCAAAGACCUUAUAACUGCAGCUGUAGUAGACUUAGGAUUGAUGAUGGAAGACUGUCGUGGCCAAUGUUAUGAUGGCGCUGGCAAUAUGGCUGGACGACUUAAUGGAGCCUCCUCGUUAAUCAGAGCAGAACAUGAGAAGGCAAUUUUUGUCCAUUGCAUGAAUCACUAGCUGAAUUUGUGUAUUGCCAAUACCUGCCAAAUACCAAAUGUCAGAAACAUGAUGGAUGUUGUGCGAAAGCUUUUUUAAUUUUUUGACAACUCUCCCAAGCGACAAGAACAUUUAGAAUUCAAGAUCAUAGAACUUUUGCAAAAAAACAAAAACAAAAAAAAAACCCACACUGCUUUAAUUAAUGUAUGCCGCACCCGAUGGAUUGAAAGGAUAGAUGCUAUGGACCGAAUAGUUGAGCUUCCCAUCCAGUCACAGCUACACUAGAAGAUAUCUCAAUGAACAGACACAAGCAUGAAAAUACCAACUGGAAUCCUACCAGCAGACAAGAUGCCCAAUCAUUACUUAAUGCUAUCAACUUUUCCUUUAUUGUUGCUAUUGUUAUUGUCAGACAUAUUUUGGCACUAACUAAGCGACUUACAGUGAAGCUGCAAAGUAAAGCUAUGGAUAUCCUGAAAGCUAAAGAAGAACUUGCUCUUCUGAUAUCAGUUCUCACAGAAAUGAGCAAUGACAUUGAUGCCACACACCAAGACAAGUAGAUGUACAACCAGAUAUGCCAAGGGUAGCUCAGAGACAGACACAUAGACCCAAUGCUCCUGCUUCAAAUCCUGAAGACUAUUAACAAGAUAAAUCUGACCAGAGUUUUCCUAGACCAUGUACUCGAGCAGCUCGAUUCUAGAUUCAAGGAUGAUGUAUUUAUCUGCUACAAAGAGCUCCAGUUACUGCAGUCCCCAAGGAUGAAAAAGGGGAGUUUUUAUUCAAAUUAUAUUGUCUAUAAUUUGUACAUAUCUUUUGUAUAUGACAUAUGAUAUUAAUAUUGGAAUUUUUUUUUUCUUAUUAUCUUGAAAACUCCUGGACCAAGGACCAACCACAGGCUUGCACAUAGACCAGUGGCACCGGUUUGGAUACCAGAAACUUUUUGUAGAGCAAGGUGUUCCAUGUACCACCUUCAACAAAAUAAAACUUUUUUUGCCUUUA